GGGCGCUUAGCUCAGUUGGUCAGAGCGCCGGCCUUACACGCCGGAGGGCACUGGUUCGACUCCAGUAGCGCCCACCG
rnacentral:tRNA from 1 species